rnacentral:rRNA from 1 species
AAGUAAAAGUCGUAACAAGGUCUCCGUUGGUGAACCAGCGGAGGGAUCAUUACCGAGUUAUCAACUCCCAAACCCCUGUGAACAUACCUGAACGUUGCUUCGGCGGGACCGCCCCGGCGCCCACGGCGGCCCGGAACCAGGCGCCCGCCGGAGGACCCAAACUCUUGUUUAAUUUAUAGCGGCAUAUUCUGAGUCUCACAAAAAAAAUGAAUCAAAACUUUCAACAACGGAUCUCUUGGCUCUGGCAUCGAUGAAGAACGCAGCGAAAUGCGAUAAGUAAUGUGAAUUGCAGAAUUCAGUGAAUCAUCGAAUCUUUGAACGCACAUUGCGCCCGCCAGUAUUCUGGCGGGCAUGCCUGUUCGAGCGUCAUUUCAACCCUCAGGCCCCCCCCUAGCGGGGGACUGGUGUUGGGGACCGGCCCCGGCCGCCCCCUAAAUGCAGUGGCGACCUCGCCGCAGCCUCCCCUGCGUAGUAGCACAACCUCGCACCGGAGCGCGGAGACGGUCACGCCGUAAAACGCCCAACUUCUCAGAGUUGACCUCGGAUCAGGUAGGAAUACCCGCUGAACUUAAGCAUAUCAAUAAGCGGAGGAAAAGAAACCAACAGGGAUUGCC